rnacentral:rRNA from 1 species
UACAGAGGUCCCAAGCGUUGUUCGGAUUCACUGGGCGUAAAGGGUGCGUAGGCGGUCGGGUAAGUUUGAUGUGAAAUCUCCGGGCUUAACCCGGAAACUGCAUUGAAUACUAUUCGGCUUGAGGUCUGGAGGGGGGACUGGAAUUCUCGGUGUAGCAGUGAAAUGCGUAGAUAUUGAGAGGAACACCAGUGGCGAAGGCGAGUCCCUGGACAGGUCCUGACGCUGAGGCACGAAAGCUAGGGGAGCAAACAGA